UUAGUACUUUCUUCAUAUUUUACACGUAAGUUAUGCUAGUUAGAAUUACUAAGUAACUUAUAAAAUAUAAAUAUAAGUAAGGGUGUGCAGAUGUUGCCCGCGCUGAUGCACCGCAUAUCGCCCGCGUUCGCGCUGCAGCUGGGCUCGUGCUCGUUCCGCGUGGAGCGCGAGCGCGAGAGCACGGCGCGCGUCACCGUGUGGCGCCACCUCGGCGUCACCCGCUCAUACACCAUUCCUUCUGCGGCUUCGACCGAGGACCAUUUAAGGGAUUCCAUCUGAACACGCAGCAUCUGCAGAACGUGGGCAGCGACUUCUGCGAGGCGCUCAACGGCCUCAACGAUAGCGCGACCAACGUCGACAUACAGCUCACUAAGGAUAUCAACGGAGAAAUAGCAGUGGACAGCGAGCCGGGCU